rnacentral:lncRNA from 1 species
UAAAUUUGCUUGUGUUCGUGAUUGCUUUAUUGUCUCUUACUUUUCCUUCAUCCACUGCAUAUAGCAUCUAAUUAAUCUACUCAGAAAAAGAUUUAAUUAGUUACUCACAAAGCGUUUAAUUGCAAUAAUUAUUUAAAAACUCAAUUCACCCUCCCUCUUGGGUUGUCUAUCUGGGCAACAAGUGGUAUCAGAGCCGGAACUCUUUUACCAAAAGGGUAAAAGAUCAAAAUGACAACCCCAUUUGGAUCUUUUCAUAUUGAGGGCCAGUCCACCCAUAGACCUCCAUUCUUUAAUGGAUCCGACUACUCAUAUUGGAAG